AUGAAGUGGAGCUGUAUCAUCCUCAUCCUUUUGUCAACAGCUACAGGUGUCUACUCAAAGGUCCAGCUGCAGCAGUCUGGGGCUGAACUGGUGAAGCCUGGAGCCUCAGUGAAGCUGUCCUGCAAAGCUUCUGGGUACACAUUCACAGACUACCUUAUGUCUUGGGUGAAGCAGAGUCAGGGAAAGAGCCUUGAGUGGAUUGGAUGGAUUAAUCCUAACAAUGGUGGUACUGCCUACAAUGAAAAGUUUAAUGACAAGGCCACCUUGACUGUAGACAAAUCCUCCAGCACAGCCUACAUGGAGCUUAGCAGACUGACAUCUGAGGACUCUGCGGUCUAUUAUUGUGCAAGACACAGUGUUGAAACCACAUCCUGA